CCAUCGCAACGAACGUUGCCGUCGUGGUAUUGGCCCUGGAGAGGAGCAGGCUGUGGCGCAGGAACCACACCUGGCUUGGGGUUCGGAUUCUCGUUCUGGAACGUUCCAGCAGUAAGGUUGAGGUAGUUCCUCCACCAGGCGUCUUCGUAGUGG
rnacentral:ribozyme from 8 species